rnacentral:rRNA from 1 species
UACGUAGGGUGCAGGCGUUAAUCGGAAUUACUGGGCGUAAAGCGUGCGCAGGCGGUUUCUUAAGUCAGACGUGAAAUCCCCAGGCUCAACCUGGGAACUGCGUCUGAUACUGGAUGGCUUGAAUCCGGGAGAGGGAUGCAGAAUUCCAGGUGUAGUGGUGAAAUGCGUAGAUAUCUGGAGGAAUACCGGUGGCGAAGGCGGCAUCCUGGACCGGCAUUGACGCUGAGGAGCGAAAGCUAGGGGAGCAAACGGG